rnacentral:rRNA from 1 species
UACGAAGGGUGCUAGCGUUGUUCGGAAUUACUGGGCGUAAAGCGCACGUAGGCGGAUCUUUAAGUCAGGGGUGAAAUCCCGGAGCUCAACUCCGGAACUGCCUUUGAUACUGAGGGUCUUGAGUCCGGGAGAGGUGAGUGGAACUGCGAGUGUAGAGGUGAAAUUCGUAGAUAUUCGCAAGAACACCAGUGGCGAAGGCGGCUCACUGGCCCGGUACUGACGCUGAGGUGCGAAAGCGUGGGGAGCAAACAGG